GUGGGGAAUUUUGGACAAUGGGGGCAACCCUGAUCCAGCAAUGCCGCGUGCAGGAAGAAGGCCUUCGGGUUGUAAACUGCUUUUGUACGGAACGAAACGGUCCUGGUUAAUACCUGGGGCUAAUGACGGUACCGUAAGAAUAAGCACCGGCUAACUACGUGCCAGCAGCCGCGGUAAUACGUAGGGUGCAAGCGUUAAUCGGAAUUACUGGGCGUAAAGCGUGCGCAGGCGGUUUUGUAAGACAGGCGUGAAAUCCCCGGGCUCAACCUGGGAAUUGCGCUUGUGACUGCAGUGCUGGAGUACGGCAGAGGGGGAUGGAAUUCCGCGUGUAGCAGUGAAAUGCGUAGAUAUGCGGAGGAACACCGAUGGCGAAGGCAAUCCCCGGGGCCUGCACUGACGCUCAUGCACGAAAGCGUGGGGAGCAAACAGGAUUAGAUACCCCGGUAGUCC
rnacentral:rRNA from 1 species